rnacentral:tRNA from 1 species
ACUUAAAUAAUAUAAAAAUUAUAAUUGACUUCCAAUCAGUAAAUCUAGCAAAACUAGCUUAAGUA